UCUCCGUUGGUGAACCAGCGGAGGGAUCAUUAUCGAGUUUAUAACUCCCAAACCCUAUGUGAACUUACCACUUGUUGCUUCGGCGCGCGCUUCGGCGCCGCCGAGGACACUUAAACUCUUUGUUUUUAUAAGCAUUUCUGAGUGGCCGAAAGGCAAAAUACAAAUGAAUCAAAACUUUCGACAACGGAUCUCUUGGUUCUG
rnacentral:misc_RNA from 1 species